UGGGGAAUCUUGCGCAAUGGCCGAAAGGCUGACGCAGCGACGCCGCGUGUGGGAGGAAGCUCUUCGGGGUGUAAACCACUGUUGCCCGGGACGAACGAUGAGCAUUGGCUCAUGUGACGGUACCGGGUGAGGAAGCACCGGCUAACUCUGUGCCAGCAGCCGCGGUAAUACAGAGGGUGCGAGCGUUGUCCGGAAUCACUGGGCGUAAAGGGCGCGUAGGCGGCUCGAUAAGGUUGCGGUGAAAGCCCGGGGCUCAACCCCGGGUCGGCCGUGGCAACUGUCGAGCUGGAGCACUGUAGAGGCAGGUGGAAUUCCGGGCGUAGCGGUGGAAUGCGUAGAGAUCCGGAAGAACACCGGUGGCGAAGGCGGCCUGCUGGGCAGUGGCUGACGCUGAGGCGCGACAGCGUGGGGGAGCAAACAGGAUUAGAUACCC
rnacentral:rRNA from 1 species